UGCUGCCGGAUCAUUAUCGAU
rnacentral:rRNA from 1 species